rnacentral:sRNA from 1 species
AUGCGUUAGGGAUUGCAGCGGCAUCCUUUUUAAAGUUUUUUACAAAUUCGCCGUCAUUACGAGGAGUUACGACGACGUAAUAUGCUUCGAUUAAGGAGAUUGCUUUACUGUGUUCGCAAUGACGUUAGCGCAAUGACGCUUUAAAAAGAUAUAGCGGAAAGCCCGACCCGAC